UACGUAGGGUGCGAGCGUUAAUCGGAGUUACUGGGCGUAAAGCGUGCGCAGGCGGUUUUGUAAGCCAGAUGUGAAAUCCCCGGGCUUAACCUGGGAAUGGCAUUUGGGACUGCAAGGCUGGAGUUUGGCAGAGGAGACUGGAAUUCCCGGUGUAGCAGUGAAAUGCGUAGAUAUCUGGAGGAAUACCGGUGGCGAAGGCGGCAUCCUGGACCGACAUUGACGCUGAGGAGCGAAAGCCAGGGGAGCAAACGGG
rnacentral:rRNA from 1 species